UAGGCCCCAGCCCAGCUUUAACUCUUCAGCUCCUGCCCACCAUGAGAUAGAAACCCGCGGCAGGAUAUGUGACUCCAAGCCUUGAGCUAGAGCCACUCAUACCCUCCUUCCUGUGCCUUAGCAGCCACUGCAUGGCCACAAGCUGGCCCUUUGAUUGGCCUGCUCUAAAGAGGCUAGUGGUGGGCCAGCCUAGCUAUGGGGAGAGGCUCCGCUGGAGGCCAAGAAAACGGAGAGGGCUUAGAGCUGCCAAAAGAAGACACUUGCUGGCCUUUUGUGCCUUUUGAUGCUUGGAACAGGACUACAGGAAAGGACCAAUGAACAGAUUCAUCCCAGUCCAUUAGGAAAAACCAUUUUUCCCUACUGGGCCACAGAAGGUACAUUUGUCACAGCAACCCAAAGAGUACCUUGAGGCUGACUGUGUUCGGGACUUCCCACCUUUCUCAAGCAAUACAAAGAGCUGGCCACAGCACUCUGCGCUGAUCCCGGGGUCAGAGCCUGCCAGAGGGGGACAUGUUCAAUGGAAGUCAGCCGCAGCCCCAGGGACAGAAGUGAGCUGUGGAUGACGCAGCCUUCAUUUUAUUGGACACGUCUUGGGGGGACCUGGGGCAGGUUCCGGGAGCUUUCAGAAGAAGCCUGUGUACCUAGCAAAACAGGACACAGGGAGAUGCCAGCAACCACAGAACAAACACCGCUGUGGGAGGGACAGCCAUGACCCAGCCCCAGUGGUGUCACAACGUAGGAACCUUUUAGAAAUGUUCUCUGACAAUUGCUCUGACUGCCAGGCCUCUCUGCCUUUACCCAGUGUGGUAAAUAGGUAAGAUGGAGGCAGAGGCAAGCGGACCUUUUUGAGUUUGAGGCCAUCCUGGUCUCCAAAGGGAGUCCAGGACAGUGAAGGCUACGCAGAGAAACCUUGUCUCAAAAAACAAACAACAAAAUAAUAGCUAAGAAUGAUGCUAUAGCCAUGUGUGAGAGCUACUACAAGGGUUUGCAAUCCAUCCCCCUUGUUUCUGUAGCUUUUCUCUUAUGUUUAUUUUAUGUACAUUAUACUUUCAUUCAUCACCCCCAUCAUCUUCCUUGGUCUCCACCCAUCAUUUACACCCACUCCAUUCCCCACAUGCCCUAUAUAUUUUCUUUCAUUUUAAAAAUUAGCUACCAUAGCCUACGAAGUCAUGGGUUUCACAAUGACAUUUUCAUACCUGUAUCAUUUCACUCUCAUAACUCAUUGCCUCCAUCUAGCUGGUCCUUUUCCUUCCUCCAAAUACUCUUUCUGCUUUACGUCUCAUGUGUUCGCUUGCUCUCUUUCUUCCCUCCUCCUCCCUCAAGAUCUCGUCUCACAGCCCCCCCUUUCCAGUUUCAAGACCCCUCCAUACACACGUGUGUGGUACCUGUCUUUCUCUACCUCCAUCUCCUGCCCUUGUCCUUCCCUGCUGCUUCUCUUUUAGGGUGUCCUUCUCCCAGACAGUCCAUUCUACUUUCUUGUCAUAGACCUAGGUACGUACGUUUUUUCAAUCUGAAUUCUGCUUAUGAGAGAAAGCAUGUGCUAUUUGUCUUUCUGAGCCUGGCUUAUUGUUUGGGUAUGUUACCUACGGAACUGUCCAGAUGUCCUUCACAGGUGAAUAACCUCUGUGGUACAGUUGUUCCGCCAUUAGAUACCCCUCAGGGGGAAUGAGAAGAGCCUCCUGCAAGCACCCACACGCAACAGUCCCAAAGCAGAAAUAGUGACAAAUGUCCUGGGACCGGAGAACAUUCCUUUGUCUACACAUCAGUGUCUACUGAAGCUGGAAGAGCCGGCCAAGUUGAAACAGACCAACUUCCCCGAGACACCAUCAAACAAGCCUGAAAGAGCCCCUGCUCAGAGGAA